GAGGAAAAUUGCUGCAUAUUUAUCUAACGCAUAAGUUGGGGAUAAGCCAUAGAGGAUUGUAUUAAUAAGUCAAACGAUUUGUACCCUUGUGUGAACACUGACGUACGACUUGUCGUAGAAACAUUGCAUUUGACAUCUCAUGGUUAUGAACCGGACUAAUUUUUUUAAUAAUGUUUUGCUUUAGUAUUCCGAAGCCGUUUUUGCGUGUCUAAUGGGAUGCAUCAACAGUACAAAAAAAUUAGGCGAUUUAAAAAGCGAAAACGUUUUUCGUGCUGUGAGACUUCACUCCGAAGUGGCAGAUCAAGGACGCACAGGAUAUCUGGAAUUAACACCAAGGGAGCUUAUAUUUCGUACGGGGUCUAAUCAACGUGUUGUAUGGGCUUUGCAACAUCUACGCAGAUAUGGGCUUAAUGGCGAUGUAUUCUCAUUUGAAGCUGGGCGUCGUUGUAUCACAGGCCCUGGCAUUUAUACUUUUCGUUGUCAACGAGCGGAGCAAUUGUAUCAUAUAUUUCAAACUUAUAUAAAUGCAGUUUCACUUGUGACAGACGAUGCAUUUACAUUUAGCGAGCGGGAGCGUGAUCAUCCAUCACAUACAGUGGGUAGACCAGAAACUGUUCAAAGUGCAAAUAACUAUUUAGAACCUGCACCGUUAGUAAGUUCAGGGGCUGCAGUGUCGAUUUUACAGCGUUCUCGAGUGCUUCGGGAUUCAUUCAGUAGUAGUCCACUAAGUUUGGACUCGCCAGAUUCAGUUCCAAGUUUAUCAUUUGCCACAAGCGAAGUAGUUCAUAUUCAAAGUCCACGUUUUCCUCCUGGUCUCGGAAUGUAUGUGAAUACCCCGAAUACAUCUAUGCCAGUUCCCAAUAGCAAUGUGUACUCGGAAUACCCCUUGCGGUCGCACGUAGAACAUAACAAUAAUUUAUCAAACGCGUCCAAUGGUGUAUUUAAUACUUUAGUUCGAAAAAAUUUGGUGAAGCACUCUUCUCUAGAUAUUCCACCAGAUGAAUUUGCGCCUAUGCUUACACCACCAUCAGAUGCAUUACACAUGUAUGCCAACGUUGAUAGCUGUUCACUUGCUGCCAAUAAUUUUGGUUUUGGUGGCAUAGCAGGAAUGCGGAAUCUGAUACGAGAUCAAGAACGCUGUUAUGAAAAUCUAAAUAGUGAAGAGCUGAAGUUAAUCCUACCAAAGCAAAAUUUGUCGUCUUCAACGCCCGGAAGGAGUCAUAGUGGAAUAGAUAUUCCCUGUGAUCCUCAAUUAAAGCAAACGAAAUCAGCAGGAACAAAUGCAGUCAAUUAUAUUGUUCUUGAUUUAGACCAACCUCGAAGUCCCACACAAUGUUCCCCCAAACUACAAGUUGGAAGUGGUCUUUCCUUAACUGCCGUUGAUGGCGCUGAUGGAAGUAUAAAAUUGGCUUCAAAAACAGAAUCACUUACUGAUUCAACACACACUAGUGUAACUUCAACGACUAAUCCAAUGGCCAUUACGACAGCAACGAUUACAAACGUGACAAAUACAACGAAACAAAAUAGUGGUAGUGUUGAGCAAUUGGAAAAUAAAGAAGAAUCUACGCUUGGUUACUCGACUAUAGAUUUUAUAAAGACUUGUGCACUUAUUAAAUCAUCAACUCACGGUGCAGAUUUUGAUGCGGAACCAGGCAAUGAAGAAAGCAGAAUAACCCGGCAUAGUAAAUGUGUGCGAAAAGCUUACUCUAUUAGUGAAUAGGAAAAAUUGGUACUUUCUCAGCGCUUUAAUAUUGCGAGAACACGUUUCGUGAUUUAAAAAAGACAAGAUAUUUGAGCAUUUAUAAGAACAACAAAAGUAAUGUAGCCAAAUUUUGCAUUACCAAUGGUUUCUUAUUUAUUCUUUCAACCGGCGAAAUGCAGCGUGAAUUGUCCUCUUUGGAACUUUCUUGCUUUUAUGUGCGUAUACAUGCAUAUAUGUAUAAUCCAUGAACAUGUCAAUGUAUAUAAUCUAAAUAUUUUCAUAUUGCAGUACAGUGUACCAGCAUUUAGUACAACAAUAUACAUAGUUAUAAGAAACCUAAAGUUGAUUUGGAAUUCGUUUAGAGAUUUUUAAUAUACAUAUACAUAUGUAUGACGACACCGAGUGUCUGUAUUUAUCACAUACAGAGCAGAAAUAAAGGUAUACUGGAUGUACAUUUUUUAUUAAUCUGCAUACAUAUAAAGAGUAAUUGAAUGGGUAACUUGUUUUAAUAAUUUUUUCAACACUAAACUAAUGUUAUCGUAUUGAUGCAAUUGUUCAAUUGAUUUUUUAUCUUAGGUAUCUAUUUAUAGUGUUUAAAAUUUUUAUUAUGUACUUAAG
rnacentral:misc_RNA from 1 species